rnacentral:tRNA from 1 species
UUAAAAGAAGCUUUAAGCAUUUUGUUGUUAACAAAAAGUCGAAAAUAUUUUUCCUUUUAAA